GAUGAAGAACGUAGCGAAAUGCGAUAAGUAAUGUGAAUUGCAGAAUUCAGUGAAUCAUCGAAUCUUUGAACGCACCUUGCGCCCCAUGGUAUUCCGUGGGGCAUGCCUGUUCGAGCGUCAUUUACCCCCUCAAGCUCCGCUUGGUGUUGGGCGUCUGUCCCGCUUCGCGCGCGGACUCGCCCCAAAGGUAUUGGCAGCGGUCGUGCCAGCUUCUCGCGCAGCACAUUGCGCUUCUCGAGGCACCGGUGGGCCCGCGUCCAUCAAGCUCACCCCCCCAGUUUGACCUCGGAUCAGGUAGGGAUACCCGCUGAACUUAAGCAUAUCAAUAAGCGGAGGA
rnacentral:misc_RNA from 1 species